ACAGGAAGAAUGUGUCUCUACAAAAAA
rnacentral:piRNA from 1 species